rnacentral:lncRNA from 10 species
GUUGCGGAUGGCUGAGGUUGGAGUGAGGCGCCCUUGUGGCCGCUCCCGAACCCGAACGCUUAGGUUAAUCCUAGAUCUCUGCGGAAAACCAGGAUUCUCUUUACUUCCAGGACCACUACGCACUGUGCCCUCAAUGCCCAAACUGGAGUAAGCGUCUUAGCUGCUGCCCACGGAGGACCACGUCUAACCACACCAAGCCAUGAGAACUGUCUAUCCAAAUAUUUCUUAAGUUCGCAGCCUUAACCCCAGCGCAGAUCCUCAGUAACCCUCAUGGCUUAGAUAGCUUCCUUCAUUGUUCUCUUUAAUUACAGGGUUGCUGCUUUCUGUUGUAAAGGAAAAUAAAAUAUCAGGACUCCUAAACUUACGCCAGAGGGAAAGUUCAUCUUGGGAGGCUGAUUCAGUUACACGACCAUCCUCUCCCCGGAUGAAUAAUUUGACUUUACAAUCUUGAGUCAAAACAUUACACAUUAGCCAGACCCACACGGUAAGGCAAAAGGCCUCAGACAUUUCCUGAUGACUACCCCCCACAAACACACAUACACAAAAUCAUAAUUAAUUAUUUGCUCCCCUGGAAACCUUUAAAGUAUGUAGCCUCCCAUAAAACAAGGACGUGUCAAUUGCAACUAGAUCUACAAUAUAAAGUCUAGUUCCUAAAACUAAAGUUUGUUCUAUUCCACAUUUUUUUGAGACGGAGUCUCACUCACCCUGUCGCCCAGGCUGUAGUGCAGUGGCACGGUGUUGGCUUACUGCAACCUCCACCUCCCGGGCUCAAGCGAUUCUCCCGCCUCACCUCCGGAGUGUCUGGGACUACAAGCACGCACCACCACGCCCAGCUAAUUUUUUGUAUUUUUAGUAGAGACGAGGUUUCAUCAUGUUGGCUAGGCUGGUCUCCAACGCCU